CAAGCGUUGUCCGGAUUUAUUGGGCGUAAAGAGCUCGUAGGUGGUUCGGUAAGUCGGGUGUGAAACCUCCAGGCUCAACCUGGAGACGCCACCCGAUACUGCUGUUACUGGAGUCCGGUAGGGGAGCGUGGAAUUCCUGGUGUAGCGGUGAAAUGCGCAGAUAUCAGGAGGAACACCAGCGGCGAAGGCGGCGCUCUGGGCCGGUACUGACACUGAGGAGCGAAAGCGUGGGUAGCAAACAGG
rnacentral:rRNA from 1 species